CUAUGACAAAUUUGUAUUUGUUUAUUAGUUUACGACUGUAAGGUACAAUUGCCGUUUUACGUUAAAAUCUGUCACUGGUAAAGUGAUAUGACAUUUUGUAAACAAAGUGAUUUAUUGAUGAUUUACAGCUUUGUAAAGGAAUUCGGUUUAUUAUGCGCUUGAAAUGAACGAUUUUGAAGAUGAGGAACAGGUUGUCACAGCUUGGUAUAAAGCUUUCCGUGCAGGAACCGACCAUGAUCUGUGGGGUCAGCCAGUAGAAGCCAUAGAAGAUUACAAAAGGUUGUCAAAGCAGUUCCAGAAAUGCUCGUCAUCUGACAUUUCCAACUUUAGCGAUGAACAAAAAAAAAUUGUGGGCAAGAUAGCCAUAUGUCUGGAACUGAGGUGUAGAUCCUUACAGAACCCAGGAACCUGUGAGGGUAUUUCCCUGGAUGAUCUUAAGAAAAUUGGUGCAACUCUUCAGAAUCUCUUAAAACAGAAGGCCAAGGACUUCCCGGUGGACGUGCUGGCAGCUCAGUUGAACUCGCGUGAGAGAAACAUAGCAGAACUACCAGACUAUGACAAUGAUGAAGACAGGCAGCCAUUACGAGAGCGAGGAAGCCUGUUGCCAGAGCCUGUUUCAUUCGGAGGCCGGCCGGUGCUGACCAUCAGGAUCGUGAAGAUCGGUCUUAAAGAUGCCAAACAAUACAUCGACCCCUACAUGUCCAUAUAUGUGAAAGACAGUCAGGGUGCUGAUCUAACGAGUCACCAGGACACGCCAGUGGCGAGUGUUAAGGAAGACUCAUAUGUGAUAUUCAACGUUGAUGUACACAUACAGAAAACUCUGGACAGUCUACCUCCUGCACGAACUCAGAUUGUGGUUAUGCAGUUUUCUUUGAGUUCAAGCACUACAAGCCGAAGAAAGGGAGCGUGAGCACGCGGUGCUGGACAGUCAUGGAGAGUGAUGAGAUUAAGGAGGGAACAGCCGUCCUUGAACUGUAUAAGAAGCCAGCCAACUACAGAAGGAAGAAUGUUCAGCUCUUCACUGUCAAGCCGCUCUUCCUGCACUUAAAACUCUCCAUCAAUCUCUGAUGUUAACUAUCACCGCAUUUCAUAGUCCCAAGUGUUCCCACCGUCCUGAAUGUUUACAAGCUCAUAUUUUAGACCUUUUUGCAUAGAAAUAGCUAGGCUCCCUAACAUCUGCUUUAAGAGUAAAACACAUUUUAGAGCCAGUGAUUUACAUGUUAUGAUAUGGCCUCCCUUGUCAUCGUUCAAACGAAGUCUGCAAUCUACAUGCAGGAAUCUAUUUCAUGCGCUUUGAACAGUAAUUAAGUCCAUAAAAGCACAAGCAUUAUUCACCAUCUCUGAAAGAUAAUAAUGACAUUAAAUCCUACAUGGGUUUUACAAGAGAAGUUUGAAUGUUAGAUAAUUAUGUGAUGGCUUUCUUUCAAAGGGCUUCUUGCAUUCCAACCUUAAAUCAUAGUUUAUCUUAUUAUAAGUCAUAGGUGUCAAAUGCAUAUGAAUUACUCUGACUUCCUAUGUUAACUGUGAUGCAUGAAUACAGUGUCUCAUCAUUCAAUCAAACAGAAUGCUGUUUUUGAUAACCAGUGUGAUAUUUAUUUGUCUCAACAUAGUUUUACAGUCAUAUAGCAUAGUUUUAGUCACUAACAUUCUCAUGUAUUGCAUUUAAUACCAAGGUUCAAUUAACUUAUACUGUGAUAUGAAAUAUACUUCAAUACUAAAUACUAGUAUAUCGUUCAAUUACUCACAUAUUCUACUACAUGUGAACUACUACAAUGUUAAAAAUACUGUUCAGCACACAUGUGAACUACUACAAUGUUUAAAAUACUGAUCAGCACACAUGUGUACUACUACAAUGUUAAAAUACUGUUCAGCACACAUGUUGUCACCUUAGUGCAAGAACUCAAUAUCUGCUUCUAUUUUUAUAUGCAGUUAUUGAGUUAUUGCACUAAGGUGACAAUGUGUACUACUACAAUGUUAAAAAUACUGUUAAGCCCACAUGUGUACUACUACAAUGAUAAAAACACUGAUCAGCACACAAUCAUGUGAACUACAACAAUGUUAAAUAUACUGCUCAACACAGUCAUGUUAUGUACCUCUAAAAUGUUCAAUAUACUGUUCAACACGUGUUAUGUACUACUACAAUGUUAAAUAUACUGUUCAGCACACGUGAGAAACACCUACAAUGAUAAAUAUACUGUUCAGCAAUUAUGUGUACUACUAUAAAGUUACAUAUACUGUUCAGCACAUGUUAUGUACUGCUACAAUUUUAAAUAUACUGCUCAGCAAUCAUUUGGAUUACAGCAAUGUUCAAUAUACUGCUCAGCCAACAUGUGUACUACUACAGUGUUAAAUAUACUGCUUGAGCAAACAUGUGAACUAUUACAAUGUUAAAUAUACUGUUUAGCACACAUGUGGAUUACUGCAAUGUUAAAUAUACUGUUGAGCACACAUGUGGAUUACUGCAAUGUUAGAUAUACUGUUUAGCACACAUGUGGAUUACUGCAAUGUUAAAUAUACUGUUCAGCACACAUGUGGAUUACUGCAAUGUUAAAUAUACUGUUUAGCACACAUGUGGAUUACUGCAAUGUUAAAUAUACUGUUAUCUGAAUAUCUGAGUAUAAUACUGUUCAGCACAAAUGUGUAGUUUUACAAUUUUAAAUAUUUUGCUCAGCACACAUGUGUACUCCUACAAUGUUCAAAUAACUGUUCAGCACACAUGUGUGCUACUACAAUGUUAAAUAUACUCCUCAGUACACAUGUGUGCUACUACCAUGUUAAAUAUACUCCACAGUACACAUGUGUACUACCACAAUGUUAAAUAUACUGUUCAGCACACAUGUGUACUACUACAAUGUUUAAAUAACUGUUCAGCACACAUGUGUACUACUACAAUGUUAAAUAUACUCCUCAGUACACAUGUGUACUACUACAAUGUUAAAAUAACUGUUCAGCACACAUGUGUGCUACUACAAUGUUAAAUAUACUGUUCAGCACAUGUGUGUACUACUACAUGUUUAAUAUACAUUUUAGCACACUUGUUUACUACCACAAUGUUAAAUAUACUUGUCAGCACACAUGUGUACUACUACAAUGUUAUAUAAUAUAUAUAUAGAGAGAGAUAUCGUUUUGCGCUGUUGUGAAGUUUGUUUAAGUGUAUAGUAUUAUUUGUUUAUAUUGUAACUGAAGGUUGUAUAUUUACAUGUUUUUAAUUCCAUUUUGUUAUGUAACACAGGGUUCAAAACCACACAUAUACUAAGCUAAGGAUCUCAGUUACUAUUUGUUUGAUGUGACUAUAGUUUAUUGCCAAGUUUUGUUGCAUGUAUCUUAGCUUGAGACUAGUUACAACAAAUACACUUUACUAUUAUGAAUUGAUUUAGUUUGACUACUGAAUAUCUGAGUAUAAUACUAUUUUGACGUGGUAAUGCAGGUAAAACUUGUGUUGAUCAGAAUUGUUAGAACUGAUUAUGUCCAUGAACGAUGAAUUUGAAAGUGUCAUCAUGGUCUACAUGUAUGUUUAAAAUGAAAUAAUUGUAAGUGGUUUUACUGUUGCAGUCAGUAAAAAAAUGUGUUCAAAUUCUCUUUGAUAAUGAAAUAUAAUAGUCCGGUAUUAUUAUUGUUGUUUAUAUUUUUGGAGCUUAAUCUACAUACAUUUAAUAAAAUCAAGAAUUAAUAAACCAAUCUGAACUUUUUACUGAAUACUUUAAGUAUUCUCAUCAUUGAACUAUUUUAAUAAGAUAUUAUUCCACUCACCUAUAUAGAGUAUAGAUACAUGUAGUAUGAUACAAAAUUAUAUAUUAAAAUAAUGUAGCCUUGCUUAUACAGUUGUAUACAUGUAUAUUUUAUUUGAAUAAUACUAAUA